CAACCCGAUCAUAGAAAAAAAACAACAGCAGAAGGUCACCAACAGGUCUUCAAUGUAGCGAGAAAUUCCCGCACCUGGAGGCGUCCUUCAGCUGGCCCCUGAACAAAUAUAUACUAGUUCAGUGAUAAUGAACGCCAUACUAAUUUCCAAAUUGUACACAAGAAACUAAAAUUAAAAUAAUACAAGACUAACAAAGGCCAGAGGCUCCUGACUUGGGACAGACGCAAAAAUGCGGCGGGGUUAAACAUGUUUGUGAGAUCUCAACCCUCCCCCUAUACCUCUAGCCAAUGUAGAAAAGUAAACGCAUAACAAUACGCACAUUAAAAUUCAGUUCAAUAGAAGUCCGAGUCUGAUGUCGGAAGAUG
rnacentral:lncRNA from 1 species